rfam:Candidatus Kaiserbacteria bacterium RIFCSPLOWO2_12_FTLL_53_8 rifcsplowo2_12_scaffold_99238, whole genome shotgun sequence.
GGGGAUGAUCAGUUUCGACAGGGAAAUAGGAAUAUGUCUGUGCGCAACAAAGUUGUGGCAUCUUUUUAAACUGCCUCAAAACUCAAGUGCGAACAAAGUAGCACGGGGGGUUCUUUCUCCGAUUCAGGCGAAAGACCUCGGCCUCGUUUUUGCCUAAACAGCUCGAACGACCGUUCAAUCAGCAGUUGUCAUUUGCUCUGAUUCGAACGCCAUAAUCAAUUGACUCGAGCUCUGCGUCACUCCGCGCACUGCUUUCAAGAAAGAGAGGUAAGCGCGAUGCACUUUUGAUUGUUCUUGAUGCACCGCGACGAAAAUUCAGAAUAAUCUACGUUGUGUAGAAUCGUUCAUAUUCUCUUCUCUGGACGCGAGUGCAAUUCUCGCCAUCUCCACAU